rnacentral:piRNA from 1 species
UGACUGACUUUUUCCUUCUCACAUGCAG